rnacentral:rRNA from 1 species
GACGAACGCUGGCGGCGUGCUUAACACAUGCAAAUCGAACGGAAAGGCCCUGCUUUUGUGGGGUGCUCGAGUGGCGAACGGGUGAGUAACACGUGAGUAACCUGCCCUUGACUUUGGGAUAACUUCAGGAAACUGGGGCUAAUACCGGAUAGGAGCUCCUGCUGCAUGGUGGGGGUUGGAAAGUUUCGGCGGUUGGGGAUGGACUCGCGGCUUAUCAGCUUGUUGGUGGGGUAGUGGCUUACCAAGGCUUUGACGGGUAGCCGGCCUGAGAGGGUGACCGGCCACAUUGGGACUGAGAUGCGGCCCAGACUCCUACGGGAGGCAGCAGUGGGGAAUAUUGCACAAUGGGCGGAAGCCUGAUGCAGCAACGCCGCGUGCGGGAUGACGGCCUUCGGGUUGUAAACCGCUUUCGCCUGUGACGAAGCGUGAGUGACGGUAAUGGGUAAAGAAGCACCGGCUAACUACGUG